rnacentral:rRNA from 1 species
UUGUCUCAAAGAUUAAGCCAUGCAUGUCUCAGUACAAGCCGAAUUAAGGUGAAACCGCGAAAGGCUCAUUAAAUCAGUUAUGGUUCCUUAGAUCGUACCCACAUUUACUUGGAUAACUGUGGUAAUUCUAGAGCUAAUACAUGCAAACAGAGUUCCGACCGGAGACGGGAGGAAUGCUUUUAUUAGAUCAAAACCAAUCGGCGGCGGCAGCGCUCGUCGCUGUCGUUCGCCGCUCAACUUGGUGACUCUGAAUAACUUUCGGCUGAUCGCACGGUCUCGCACCGGCGACGCAUCUUUCAAAUGUCUGCCUUAUCAACUGUCGAUGGUAGGUUCUGCGCCUACCAUGGUCGUAACGGGUAACGGGGAAUCAGGGUUCGAUUCCGGAGAGGGAGCCUGAGAAACGGCUACCACAUCCAAGGAAGGCAGCAGGCGCGCAAAUUACCCACUCCCGGCACGGGGAGGUAGUGACGAAAAAUAACGAUACGGGACUCAUCCGAGGCCCCGUAAUCGGAAUGAGUACACUUUAAAUCCUUUAACGAGGACCAAUUGGAGGGCAAGUCUGGUGCCAGCAGCCGCGGUAAUUCCAGCUCCAAUAGCGUA